GCGCGAAAACUCUACAAUGCAGGCAACUGCGAUAGGGGGACAUCGAGUGGCAUCCACCUUGGGUGCCUGUCCAACCGUCUAAAAAACGGUUGUUAGCAAGGGCCGGGUAAGACCGGUGCCAGCCGCCGCGGUAAUACCGGCGGCUCGAGUGGUGGCCGAUAUUAUUGAGUCUAAAGGGUCCGUAGCCGGCUUUGCAAGUCCCCUGGGAAAUCCAGCGGCUUAACCGUUGGGCUUUCAUGGGAUACUACAUUGCUUGGGACUGGGAGAGGUAGGAGGUACUCGGGGUGGUAGGG
rnacentral:rRNA from 1 species